AGAUAAUAGAUACCCCGGUAGUCCACGCCCUAAACCGAUGUCUACUAGUUGUUGGUGGAGUAAAAUACCAUGAGUAAACGCAGCUAAACGCGUGAAGUAGACCGCCUGGGGAGGUACGGUCGCAAGAUUAAAACUACAAAGAAUUGACGGGGGCCCGGCACAAGCGGUGGAUUAUGUGGAUUAAAUUCGAUGCAACGACGAAAAACCUUAACCUGGCCUUGACAUGCCACUAACGAAGCAGAGAUGCAUUAGGUGCCCGUAAGGGAAAGUGGACACAGGUGCUGCAUGGCUGUCGUCAGCUCGUGUCGUGAGAUGUUGGGUUAAGUCCCGCAACGAGCGCAACCCUUGCCAUUAAUUGCCAUCAUUUAGUUGGGCACUUUAAUGGGACUGCCGGUGAC
rnacentral:rRNA from 1 species